GACGAACGCUGGCGGCGUGCUUAACACAUGCAAGUCGAACGGAAGGGCCCUGCUUUUGUGGGGUGCUCGAGUGGCGAACGGGUGAGUAACACGAGAGUAACCUGCCCUUGACUUUGGGAUAACUUCAGGAAACUGGGGCUAAUACCGGAUAGGAGCUCCUGCUGCAUGGUGGGGGUUGGAAAGUUUCGGCGGUUGGGGAUGGACUCGCGGCUUAUCAGCUUGUUGGUGGGGUAGUGGCUUACCAAGGCUUUGACGGGUAGCCGGCCUGAGAGGGUGACCGGCCACAUUGGGACUGAGAUACGGCCCAGACUCCUACGGGAGGCAGCAGUGGGGAAUAUUGCACAAUGGGCGGAAGCCUGAUGCAGCAACGCCGCGUGCGGGAUGACGGCCUUCGGGUUGUAAACCGCUUUCGCCUGUGACGAAGCGUGAGUGACGGUAAUGGGUAAAGAAGCACCGGCUAACUACGUG
rnacentral:rRNA from 1 species